rnacentral:rRNA from 1 species
UACGGGGGGAGCAAGCGUUGUUCGGAUUUACUGGGCGUAAAGGGCGCGUAGGCGGCCUCUGCAAGUCGACUGUGAAAUCUCCGGGCUUAACCCGGAAAGGUCAGCCGAUACUGCAGGGCUAGAGUGCAGAAGGGGCAACUGGAAUUCUCGGUGUAGCGGUGAAAUGCGUAGAGAUCGGGAGGAAGGCCGGUGGCGAAGGCGGCGCUCUGGAACAUUUCUGACGCUGAGACACGAAAGCCAGGGGAGCGAACGGG